GACGAACGCUGGCGGCGUGCUUAACACAUGCAAGUCGAACGGUAAGGCCCUUUCGGGGGUACACGAGUGGCGAACGGGUGAGUAACACGUGGGUGAUCUGCCCUGCACUUUGGGAUAAGCCUGGGAAACUGGGUCUAAUACCGGAUAGGACUACGCGAUGCAUGUCGUGUGGUGGAAAGCUUUUGCGGUGUGGGAUGGGCCCGCGGCCUAUCAGCUUGUUGGUGGGGUGAUGGCCUACCAAGGCGACGACGGGUAGCCGGCCUGAGAGGGUGUCCGGCCACCCUGGGACUGAGAUACGGCCCAGACUCCUACGGGAGGCAGCAGUGGGGAAUAUUGCACAAUGGGCGCAAGCCUGAUGCAGCGACGCCGCGUGGGGGAUGACGGCCUUCGGGUUGUAAACCCCUUUCAGCACAGACGAAGCGUAAGUGACGGUAUGUGCAGAAGAAGCACCGGCCAACUACGUG
rnacentral:rRNA from 1 species